UGGCACAGCCCUUGUUCUCGUGGCUGUCUGGUUAGGAUGGCCCAA
rfam:Streptococcus pneumoniae SP6-BS73 ctg888, whole genome shotgun sequence.